UUUUCCUACUCCCCUCUCCUCUGGUGUCUGUAAGUGUCCUACCCUGUCAUUAGUUCCAGGUGUGCUACCAGUCACCUGAGCCCACCUGUUGCUAAUCAACCACCAGACUUAAACCCUGGAUCUCUACUCAGCCGGUGCCAGUUCGUCCGUUGCCUGCAGUAGAAUUUGGCUCACUAACUCUGACUUUUGCCCUGAGCCUUUUGUAAUUCCACUUUUUUGUGUUUCCUCAGGUGGAGGACAGACUUUUGACCCGGUUUUCCUGGAGCUGAUCUUUCGCUACAACUGAUUUCUUCUGGAGGAAAGUUCUGUGGUCAGAUGAAACAAAAAUUGAGCUGUUUGGCCACAAUACCCAGCAAUAUGGUUUGGAGGAGAAAAGGUUGUCAGGGAGAGCGUUCCACAGACCGGGAGCGGCGGAGCAGAAAGCCCGGUCUCCCGCUGUUCGUAGCUUUGUCCCCGGAGGUUGGAGGAGGUUAGCCUGUCCGGAGCGGAGGUGUCGUGUGGAGGAUUUGGGGGUGAGUAGUAGAUUUAAGUGUGGCCUCAGCACUUUAAAGUUUUUCUGUAUGUGGCCCUCAGUUUAAAAAGUUUGACACAAUUGCAUUUUGCAACAUGGAAUUGUUGGCUAAUAAAACAUCACUCAUUACCAA